GACAGAAGACUAAAUCUUCAGAUAAAUCAUUCAGACCUUGAAAUAACGAUAAAUAAUGUAAACAACAGAAGUUUUGACAGCGUGGCCUCUUGUGUGAGUGACAGUGGCACAGCUUCCAGUGGACCGACAAGACUCCGUUUGAGUUUGAGCGAUGGGCUUUUCUGCAGCCGGACAAGGAACCUGGUGAGGAGUGUGUGGAGAUGAACUACGAGACCUGGGGUUACUGGAACAACGCUGUCUGCUCAGGGAGGAAGUACUACGUGUGCGCCCGGAGAAUGUGAUCAUCAUCUUCUUCAUCAUCAUCAUCUUCAGCUGUCACAUUUAAAGUCAGAGUGGUCCUGAAACCUGCACCUGAGCCGAUGACCCUGAGCUGCAGGUGGACCAGACAAGUCACUGCAAUAAACCAUCAGCUGAUA